GAGUUUGAUCGUGGCUCAGAACGAACGCUGGCGGCAUGCCUAACACAUGCAAGUCGAACGAGAUCUUCGGAUCUAGUGGCGCACGGGUGCGUAACGCGUGGGAAUCUGCCCUUGGGUGCGGAAUAACUUCUCGAAAGGGAUGCUAAUACCGCAUAAUGUCGUAAGACCAAAGAUUUAUCGCCCAAGGAUGAGCCCGCGUAAGAUUAGCUAGUUGGUAGGGGUAAAAGCCUACCAAGGCGACGAUUCUUUAGCUGGUCUGUGAGGAUGAUCAGCCACACUGGGACUGAGACACGGCCCAGACUCCUACGGGAGGCAGCAGUGGGGAAUAUUGGACAAUGGGCGAAAGCCUGAUCCAGCAAUGCCGCGUGAGUGAUGAAGGCCCUAGGGUUGUAAAGCUCUUUUACCCGGGAUGAUAAUGACAGUACCGGGAGAAUAAGCUCCGGCUAACUCCGUGCCAGCCGCCGCGGUAAG
rnacentral:rRNA from 1 species